AUUGAACGCUGGCGGCAUGCUUUACACAUGCAAGUCGAACGGUAACAGGCCGCAAGGUGCUGACGAGUGGCGCACGGGUGAGUAAUGCAUCGGAACGUGCCCAGUCGUGGGGGAUAACUACUCGAAAGAGUAGCUAAUACCGCAUACGAUCUAUGGAUGAAAGCGGGGGACCGUAAGGCCUCGCGCGAUUGGAGCGGCCGAUGUCAGAUUAGGUAGUUGGUGGGGUAAAGGCUCACCAAGCCAACGAUCUGUAGCUGGUCUGAGAGGACGACCAGCCACACUGGGGCUGAGACACGGCCCAGACUCCUACGGGAGGCAGCAGUGGGGAAUUUUGGACAAUGGGCGCAAGCCUGAUCCAGCAAUGCCGCGUGCAGGAAGAAGGCCUUCGGGUUGUAAGCUGCUUUUGUACGGAACGAAACGGCUCUGGUUAAUACCCGGGGCUAAUGACGGUACCGUAAGAAUAAGCACCGGCUAACUACGUG
rnacentral:rRNA from 1 species